CAGUCGUACCUUCGGGUAAUCAGCCUUUCGGGUGCGAUUCUGUGGGGUUUGAGGAGCUUAACACCUUCAUGCUUUUGCAUAUUCGUGCUCUUGGGUGUACUUGCCCGUGUGGUUGGUUAACAUCAAUUUGGUGGUCAUAAAAUGACUGGAGGAAUGUAGCUUCGAUCUUGUAUUGAAGUGUUAUAGCCUCUUGUCGUACACGGUGUCUGGGAUCGAGGACUGCAGCACGCCUUU
rnacentral:rRNA from 1 species